rnacentral:rRNA from 1 species
CCUACGGGAGGCAGCAGUGGGGAAUUUUGGACAAUGGGGGCAACCCUGAUCCAGCAAUGCCGCGUGUGUGAAGAAGGCCUUCGGGUUGUAAAGCACUUUUGUCCGGAAAGAAAGCAUCCCUGUUAAUACCGGGGGUGGAUGACGGUACCGGAAGAAUAAG